UGGGGAAUAUUGCACAAUGGGCGCAAGCCUGAUGCAGCCAUGCCGCGUGUAUGAAGAAGGCCUUCGGGUUGUAAAGUACUUUCAGCGGGGAGGAAGGUGUUGUGGUUAAUAACCACAGCAAUUGACGUUACCCGCAGAAGAAGCACCGGCUAACUCCGUGCCAGCAGCCGCGGUAAUACGGAGGGUGCAAGCGUUAAUCGGAAUUACUGGGCGUAAAGCGCACGCAGGCGGUCUGUCAAGUCGGAUGUGAAAUCCCCGGGCUCAACCUGGGAACUGCAUCCGAAACUGGGAGGGUUGAGUCUUGUAGAGGGGGGUAGAAUUCCAGGUGUAGCGGUGAAAUGCGUAGAGAUUUGGAGGAAUACCGGUGGCGAAGGCGGCCCCCUGGACAAAGACUGACGCUCAGGUGCGAAAGCGUGGGGAGCAAACA
rnacentral:rRNA from 1 species